rnacentral:lncRNA from 1 species
UCGUUGACCAGAAACUCGCCCUCCAGCUCUGCCAGUUGCAACUUCGAAUAGGGCUUGCGCUUCUUCCGAGAGCGGCUGUUGAUCGGGACUGGAUCCCGGAUCAGUUACAACAGAUAUGGGCGAAUGGCAGAGUAAACGCAUCCACUGGCAUUUCUUUCGAAAUGAAUUUGGAGAGACAUUUGGAGUCCUCUUCCCCAAUACUCAAGGAUAAUUGAUAAUGCCGGGUUUUCCUCUGGAGCCGGGAGCCACCCAGCCUCACACCUCCACUCACGGCUAGAGGAAGGAUGCGGAAGGGAGGUAGAGAAUGCAGCAAAAGGAGGUGCCUAGCUCCACAUGGACCUGCCUGCCUGCUCCUGAAAAUCUGGGGGCGAACUACUCUUCUGCUGUCAUUUCCGGGGAACUGAGGAGCUUCUGGGGGCCUCCUGGAGUCUUUGCAGUGGGAAGCUUUGGACCCCUAACAGGGCUUGACUGGGCUGAGAGGGGCCUAAUUCUCACUGCGGAGGAGACAACUGCACCCCAGAACCGGCCAAGCCUGCCCCUGGGACCAUCAGAUAGCAGUGCAGAGGCCCGCAGUAGGUUGCCUCCUGAGGGGGCUAGGAUUGAGGGAAAAAACCCUUGAAGAAUUAUCUUAUUGGGGGGUGAAAUUAUAUUUAUGGUGCAAACUCAGAAGCUCCCUCCAGAGAAGGCCGAGAAGCAAUGCUGGCCAUUGGUGAGAUAAUCAACAUCUGCAAAACCACAAUCCGAUCUCAACUAGGUCCACAGAACACAGCCAAGCGGAUUAAAAAGAAAGACAAAAUAAAACUCCCCCAAACCAGAUGUAUCCUUUUGGGGUCUAAUAGAAAAAACACUCGAAUUUCCAUGUGAUUAUUUCGAGCUUCUAACCAAUGCAUGGCUUAAGUAAUACAGGGUUGGAUAAAUAGUUCAGUAAACGUCUAAAUACGAAAAAAUACCAGAAGAUUGAAAGAAAAUUGGAGACAGAGAUUCGGAGAGAAUGAGAAAGAAACCCAUUUAGGUGAAAGUUAAAUAUCAGAGAAAGCCUGAGAAUAAGCCAAAGCUGC